GUUCAAAGGGCACCCCAAAGGGAAACAGGUAUUCCAGGAGGGAGGGAGGGAAGGAGGAAGGGAGGGAGAGAGAGAGAGAGAGAAAGAAAGAAGGAAGAAGAAGAAAGAGAGGAGAGAGAGAGAGAGAAGGAAAGGGGGAGAGGAGGGCAUUCUAUGUUUCCUUCUAGUGAGAUGGAAGGAAUGGAAGAUUCUCUUUUCAGGGACAGCAUUAUGACAUCAAAAUAUUAAUCAUCCGACACUGUACACAAGGUGUUGGAGGGGAGAGCAUGAAACCUUAGUCUUUCACAAGGAAUAGGCUUAAAAAAGUUUCAAGGAUUUUUUUGCAAAUUAUAAAUACACUUAUUAUUAUUUAUUGCAGAGAUCAGCCUUCAUUAAAGUUAAAUGCACAGUUAAUGGGCUACUUUGUGCUUUAUCUUUUGCACCCUCAUUAAAGUUGAGGGUAGGCACAUGCAUUCCCUUAAGUAUGCUAGAAGGCAAAAUGAUUUCAGUUUUUUUGUAUUGUUGCUUCUGUUGUUUCAUUAGUAGCCAAUUAAUUGUUCCUAAUGAAUUAUCAAAGGCACUAACAAUAUCUGGGUUCUUCUUUUCCACUAACUAGCUCAACUAUAGAAAACUUAAUAUUUUCUGGGAAGUUUUUUUUUUUUUUUUAACCCAUUUCUUCUGAACUCUAUUGAACUCAAAGGGAUUCCUCCCACACUCCAAGAACAGCUAGAAGAAGGAGGGAGGAGAAGGUCAGAAGAGCACAGGGGUGGUAACAGCUCUCCUGAGCCUCAACCCAAUGCCAGAGAAGGAGCUCCAACCACUCUGCCAGUUGUGUGGAGAAGGAAUUAAGGAGGAGGAGAAGAAUGGAAGCAGGGGCACCUGCAAGGAGACCACUGGUUGUGACAGGAGCACUUGGCGAGCACGGACAUUGAUGUGGGGACGAGAGAGGGCACGGCGUCUCUGAAGGCAGAGACGUCCUACUGCUUUCCUCACUCCUGUACUUCCAGUGCCUGUGACUGUGCCUGGCGAAUAACUAGUCUUUGGAUCCUGCGAGCACAGCACAGACAUUACCUCCCUGGGCUUCCAAACACCUCUGUGAGCUGAGGAUCAAGGACAGGGAUUAUUUUACAGAUGGGAAAACUGGCACUCAAAAACCGCAUAUGUGCCAAGACCCCUUCACAAGAUAGCGGCACAGCCAGAAACAGGAUGCAGUGUCACCACAUCAAAACAGAACUGGACACAUUCCUGCAGUCACUUCUCAUCUCUACCCUCACUGAAGGCCAGAUGGUACAUCUCCUUCCUGAAGCUGUGGCAACGCGUGGCCAGCCUCCCAGCUCCAGUCCUACUCCCCACCUCCCAUCUGGGCUCUGAUGUUAAGUCAUCUUUCUCAAGCACCAUGUGAGCCCAUCUCAGACACUUCAAAAGCCUCCGGUUGCUUCUUUUCCUAACAGCCCCCUUCAUGAGGUUUGAACCUCUUAUCACAGCCCUUCCCACUCUCACAGAGCCUCUUGGUUGGAGGCUGGGAUGACUUCCAUUAUCACUAUCUACCAAGCCCCCACUAGAUCCUCGGUACAAGUUUAUUAAACUAGAAGAAUCAUAACAAACCCUAUGACAUAACCACCCUCCCAGAUUCCCCUCUCAGUUGUGACACACCAGCUCACAAAUCCCUAGCCAAACCUUCCUUCCAUGCACAGAUUCCAUGGAACAGAUUCCAUGACACUUGAGGGAAGCAGCUCCUCCAGGAGGGUGCUCAUUCAUGAUAUUAACCUUCUUCUCCCUUCUUAUCCAUCAGCAGCUGUCCCUUGUUCACGGUCCCCACCCACUUUUCCUUACCCAGUCAGCAGGAAUCCCCUCACCUACCAACCCCACACACAUACUCCCACUACCCCUUUGUACUUUGCACAAUAUACUUGCCAUUAUCCCCACACAACCACCCGCUCUGGUCUCCUUCAGCAAACCAGGCUCUUUUCCCAUUUAGAACUGUGCCCAGGAGGAGGGGCCCUGCCAGAUACCCUCACCGUAUCUUCUUCCACGUGGUCUCUUUCAAAAUGGGAUUCUCUUCAGCAGCAGCCAAUUAGUACAGAAUGUCUGUUGUAGACAGCUCUUAGCAUUAAGUGCCAAGAAAGCUACAUGGUGUGUGUUUUAGUCUCUGCCUUUGGGGACCUUAUGAUAUAGUUGGUGAUACAAGAAAUAUGCAGAAAAUAGUUACGUGGCUUCCAAGGUCCUUACAUCUGCAGGCAUUUCUCUCCCCCCCCCUUCCAUGUGAUU